UAACAUGCAAGUCGAGCGGUAACAGACAUAAAGAUUCAGCUUGCUGAAUCCGGUGCUGACGAGCGGCGAACGGGUGAGUAACGCGUAGGAAUCUACCCAGUAGCGGGGGAUAGCCCGAGGAAACUCGGAUUAAUACCGCAUACGCCCUGAGGGGGAAAGGGGGCAGUUUACUGCUCUCACUACUGGAUGAGCCUGCGUAAGAUUAGUUUGUUGGUGGGGUAAUGGCCUACCAAGGCAACGAUCUUUAGCUGGUCUGAGAGGACGAUCAGUCACAUUGGGACUGAGACACGGCCCAGACAUCUACGGAUGGCAGCAGUUAAGAAUAUUGGACAAUGGGGGCAACCCUGAUCCAGGUAUACCGCGUGUGUGAAGAAGGCCCUAGGGUUGUAAAGCACUUUAAUCAGAGAAGAAGCAUUUUAAGUUAAUACCUUAAUAUGUUGACGUUACCUGAAGAAUAAGGACCGGCUAACUCCGUGCCAGCAGCCGCGGUAAUACGGAGGGUCCAAGCGUUAAUCGGAAUUACUGGGCGUAAAGCGCGCGUAGGCGGUUUAGCAAGUUGUAUGUGAAAGCCCUGGGCUCAACCUAGGAACUGCAUUCAAAACUACUAAGCUAGAGUACGAGAGAGGAGAGUAGAAUUUCUGGUGUAGCGGUGAAAUGCGUAGAUAUCAGAAGGAAUACCAAUGGCGAAGGCAGCUCUCUGGCUCGUCACUGACGCUGAGGUGCGAAAGCGUGGGUAGCAAACAGGAUUAGAUACCCUGGUAGUCCACGCCGUAAACGAUGAGAACUAGCCGUUGGGCAGAUUUAACUGUUCAGUGGCACAGCUAACGCAUUAAGUUCUCCGCCUGGGGAGUACGGCCGCAAGGCUAAAACUCAAAUGAAUUGACGGGGGCCCGCACAAGUGGUGGAGCAUGUGUUUACUUCGAUGCACGCGAGAUCUUACUACCCUUGAAAUCUAGCGAGUUCACAGAGAUGAGAUGUGCUUCGGGACGCUAUGACAGGUGUUGCAUGACUGUCGUCAGCUCGUGUCGUGAGAUGUAUGGUAGUCCAGUACGAGGCGCAACCCCUAUCUUUAUUGGCCAGCGGCGUUAAGGCGGAACUAUAGGGAACUGGCGGGGUGAAACCGGAGGAAAGAGGGGACCAAGGUCAAGCUCUUCUUUGGGCCCUUAUAUGUGUUGGGGGUAACACACAGCGA
rnacentral:rRNA from 1 species